rnacentral:rRNA from 1 species
GAUGAACGCUGGCGGCGUGCCUAAUACAUGCAAGUCGAGCGAACGGACGCAAAGCUUGCUUCUCUGAUGUUAGCGGCGGACGGGUGAGUAACACGUGGAUAACCUACCUAUAAGACUGGGAUCACUUCGGGAAACCGGAGCUAAUACCGGAUAAUAUUUUGAACCGCAUGGUUCAAAAGUGAAAGACGGUCUUGCUGUCACUUAUAGAUGGAUCCGCGCUGCAUUAGCUAGUUGGUAAGGUAACGGCUUACCAAGGCAACGAUGCAUAGCCGACCUGUGAGGGUGAUCGGCCACACUGGAACUGAGACACGGUCCAGACUCCUACGGGAGGCAGCAGUAGGGAAUCUUCCGCAAUGGGCGAAAGCCUGACGGAGCAACGCCGCGUGAGUGAUGAAGGUCUUCGGAUCGUAAAGCUCUGUUAUUAGGGAAGAACAUAUGUGUAAGUAACUGUGCACAUCUUGACGGUACCUAAUCAGAAAGCCACGGCUAACUACGUG